rnacentral:rRNA from 1 species
AAUCAACGCUGGCGGCGUGCCUCAGACAUGCAAGUCGAACGCGAAAGUCCCCUUCGGGGGGCAAGUAGAGUGGCGCACGGGUGAGUAACACGUAGGUAAUCUACCUUUGGAUUGGGAAUAACCACCGGAAACGGUGGCUAAUACCGAAUAAUGCAGCGGCACCUAAUGGUGACAGUUGUUAAAGCGGGGGAUCGCAAGACCUCGCGUCUGAAGAGGAGCCUGCGGCAGAUUAGCUAGUUGGUAAGGUAACGGCUUACCAAGGCGAUGAUCUGUAGCCGGCCUGAGAGGGCGGUCGGCCACACUGACACUGACAUACGGGUCAGACUCCUACGGGAGGCAGCAGUCGGGAAUUUUGGGCAAUGGGCGAAAGCCUGACCCAGCAACGCCGCGUGAAGGAUGAAAUCCUUCGGGAUGUAAACUUCGCAAGAACGGGAAGAAUAAGUAAGGGUUAAUAUCUCUUACGAUGACGGUACUGUUUGUAAGCUCCGGCUAAUCC